rnacentral:rRNA from 1 species
CCUACGGGAGGCAGCAGUGGGGAAUAUUGCACAAUGGGGGGAACCCUGAUGCAGCGACGUCGCGUGAGUGAAGAAGUAUCUAGGUAUGGUAAGCUUCAUCAGCAGGGAAGUAAAUGACGGUACCUGACUAAGAAGCCCCGGAUAACUACGUGCCAGAAGCCGCGGUAAUACGUCGGGGGCAAGCGUUAUCCGGAUUUACUGGGUGUAAAGGGAGCGCAGACGGGUGUGAAAGUCUGGAGUGAAAGUGUGCGGCCCAACCCGCGGACUGCUGUUGAAACUGGAAAGCUGGAGUGCAGGAGAGGUAAGCGGAAUUCCUGGUGUAGCGGUGAAAUGCGUAGAUAUUAGGAAGAACUCCAGUGGCGAAGGCGGCUUACUGGACUGCAACUGACGUUGAGGCUCGAAAGCGUGGGGAUCAAACAGGAUUAGAUACCCGAGUAGUC